rnacentral:lncRNA from 1 species
UUAGAAGGUGCGGUUCCCUGGCUCCCGAACUCCCGGCUCCGGCCGCCAGAGAGCAGCAAGCGCCUGGGAUUCUGCAGACUGCGGACUGGACUGCGCCUUGUCGCGGCGGGUCGCUUCCAGGGACUACCUGGCUACCUGGUUGGAUCUGCUGAGCUUCUUUCCUUCUCUCAAGGACAUCAAGGGCUCUGGACAUUGUGAAAGUUUCCCUUUAAGUUACGAUGGGAAUCAAGAACAAUGCCACAUGGACCCCUGUCUGGGUAGCGCGGAAAGGAGAAACUUCUUCCUAAAGGAUCUUUUUGCUUGA